ACCGGAUCGAGACGUCGUCUCGCACAACCCCCUCCUCUCCCCGACCUCUGUGCUCUUUCUCCCAAUCUAGGCGGCUGGGCGUAUCCUUCCCGACAGCGCCGCCGACCACGACAUCGACCUCCACCAGCGGCCCCCCUCGCUCUUUCUCGAUCUCUAGCGCCAGCGCGCAUAGCGAAACGGCGUCACACUCUCUGUUGAUUUGCCUACCACGACGAUGUGCUCGGAGCCGUCCUUUUAAGGUGGAACGCAACCGCCGCUGUUAUCAACUCCCGAUCCCGAUCGAAGCUCGCCCAAUCCCGACCGAGGUCCACCCGCCCAAUCCAGCGACCGGAGGAGAGGAGCAGCCGGUGCGGUCGAGGCCUCGAGGGGAUUUAGCGGACGCCAGCCGCGCGUGGGAUCCAGCAUCGAGGGAGCCGACGCGACGCGCGCGAGGGAACCGGCGGUCCAGGGGAACCAGCCAAGGCGAGGCGCCCCGGCCGGUCGAUGCGCUGCGGUUCGUCGCCUGGCUACAGGGCAUGCUCCGCCACGCCGCCUUCUGGGAGAGAGAGGCUGCUGCCGGGCGCCGGCGCUGGCGUGCAGGACGGAGUCGCCGCUCCAAGUGCCAGUUGUUGUUCGCGCCGCCGGGAGCGCGUUCGCAGCGGGCCGUGCCAGCCGUCUCUCGCCGAUGUUGUGCCUGAGGGCUUUGCUGGUUGGGUCGCUGGUGGAGGACGAGGCCAAGCUUGCUCCGCUCUUUCAGAUCCAGGAGUGUAACAGAGUGCUGCGGCGAGAUCUCAGCUUUCAGGCGCAAACACCCCAACCCGUGAUAUGUUUUUACGACGGAUCUAAACUCCUCCGGCACGCUGCUGCCAGGUCCAGGAAGAUGCAAUAUUUAUUGAGUCUGAUUUUUUGGUGGAAACAAACUGGAGGAAGUGAUGUACAACUCAGAAAAAGGUAAGUGAUGUGAAAUUUCUAGGUGCAUUGCUAUUUACACUACCAUGCAAUGACAUUCAAAUACGUAUUAAGCAUGUCCUUAAUAAAGUUUAACAUGCCAUUUUCUAUUAGAGUACUCCGAUCCAAGCUGGAUAUGUAGCUAGCCUCUCCUAAUCUUCCUGUAAAAGACACUCUCCUAAUCUUCCCAUGCUUUCAGUUUCUUCGGUAUCGGAGUUCUCAUCUAUUUUUUGAGAUUUCAGCGAUCAAUGCCGAGCAUAUGUAUUUUUUGUCUACCCCUGGGUUCUCUAAUCCCCCCCGCCCCCCGCCCCCCGCCCCAUUAUUUCUUUUUUACAUUGCAUCUGAUUAAUACCCAUGAGAUCCCCUUUUCAUUUCAAAAAUUUGUGGCCUCCUUCCUGUUAUGUCACUAUUAAGUCUUCGGUUCAACGUGACACAUGCAGGGCCACCUUAAGUGCUCAACUGCCACGUCUAGCGGGAUAUGGAGAGGGACACGAAGAUUAUAUGUGUACCGAUGGUUGCGGGUUGAUGAAGACGGACCUGCUGGUGCAGUGAUCACUUCUGACAUUGCCGGUUCCAGCACUCCUGGACUCCUCCUUUACCAACGACCCACAUGCAAAAUAAUGUAAGCUGACAGGCUCCAACUUGAUAAUCUAGAUGACAUGGUCACUAUACUGAGAAUUGUCUUCCUUCAAAAGUAGAAAAAAAUGUUGCUCAAUCUGCUUUUUACAGAACAAUGAGUAGCUGGCACUUGCUUCUAUUAAAUAGACAGUCAAUUUGUAGUAUGCAUCAGUACCACAAAAAGCCUUUUAGGUUGCCUGCCAGUUUAAAUGAUCUCUAUAAUGGUAAAUAGACAGUCAAUUUGUAGUAUGCAUCAGUACCACAAAAAGCCUUUUAGGUUGCCUGUCAGUUUAAAUUAUUUCUAUAAUGGUGAUUGGAUAUUGUGGGCUUUGCCUGUCAUUUUAGCAUGCUACAGAUUUCUGCCUAAGGUGAUUAUCAGCUUGAAUUUGAGCAGAAGGCUAAAGCUGUUCUUGGAACUUACAACGGUGUUGUCUUUCCAAAUGAGAAAAGAUGACAAAGCUUUGUUUUUUUACAAUGUUACCUUUUACUAUGCCUGGUCAGAAACAAGCGAAUCCUCUCGAGUUUGUCGAGUUGUUUGCAGUGAUCAUCUGCCAUUUUCUAUUUGUAUAAUGUUUGAAGUUUGUAUGAAUGGAUUCAAUGAAAUUAUAGGUGUCAUACUACUUUGGUCGAGAUUAUGCUUCCAGAUAUUGAAGGAAAUAUGCCCUAGAGGCAAUAAUAAAGUUAUUAUUUAUUUUUUUAUA